AUUUGCCUCUGGUAAACUGUUACGCAGUGUGUAUGUCUAGGGCUUUUAUUGUGAAAGGUAAGAACGGAAGGAGUGGAUCUGGUAUGUGCUGCCUUUGUCAAGGCUG